UACGGAGGGUGCAAACGUUGCUCGGAAUCAUUGGGCGUAAAGCGCACGUAGGCGGUCCAGCAAGUCGGGUGUGAAAGCCCUCGGCUUAACCGAGGAAGUGCAUUCGAAACUACUGGACUUGAAUACUGGAGAGGAUCGCGGAAUUCCCGGUGUAGAGGUGAAAUUCGUAGAUAUCGGGAGGAACACCAGUGGCGAAGGCGGCGAUCUGGACAGAUAUUGACGCUGAGGUGCGAAAGCGUGGGGAGCAAACGGG
rnacentral:rRNA from 1 species